GACGAACGCUGGCGGCGUGCUUAACACAUGCAAGUCGAACGGUAAGGCCCCUUCGGGGGUACACGAGUGGCGAACGGGUGAGUAACACGUGAGUAACCUGCCCUUGACAUCGGAAUAAGCCCGAGAAAUCGGGUCUAAUACCGAAUAAUCAUCUUCGCGGACAUCCGCUUAGGUGCAAAGCUCCGGCGGUCAGGGAUGGACUCGCGGCCUAUCAGCUAGUUGGUGAGGUAACGGCUCACCAAGGCUUCUACGGGUAGCCGGCCUGAGAGGGCGACCGGCCACACUGGGACUGAGAUACGGCCCAGACUCCUACGGGAGGCAGCAGUGGGGAAUAUUGCACAAUGGACGAAAGUCUGAUGCAGCAACGCCGCGUGCGGGAUGACGGCCUCGG
rnacentral:rRNA from 1 species